AAGUCGUAACAAGGUCUCCGUAGGUGAACCUGCGGAGGGAUCAUCAAAGAAUUAUUCACACAGAAAAGAUUGGAGGGGGGGGGAGUUUGAGAGAUUCACGUCUCUCGUUCGCUUCUUCUUCUAGUCUUUUCUGAACAAACAAACAUACAUGACUAGGAAAAACAAAAUUGAUUUGAUUUGGUUUGACAAACAAGCAAGAAGUUCUUGGCUGAUAAGUAGCAUUGAUUUGGAAUGUGAAUCUAUAUCAAUACAACUUUCAACAACGGAUCUCUUGGCUCUCA
rnacentral:misc_RNA from 1 species